UUUAUUCUGUGCGUCAAACCAAGGCCUUCAGAUGUAUUCCGUAAUCAAAGCCCCUGGCGCUCAGGGAGGCAGUAGGGAACAGAUUGGAGUCAAAUCGGCUUGGCCUGGAAUUGUCAACUAUGUGUGACUGGGAGGUCACUGCACUACUUCCUCACAGGCAAAAGACAAACAAUAGAACCUGCUCAGCCGGAGGGUUAGGAGGACUCCAUGGAAUAAUGUGUGUACAGCACUGAACAGGAUGCGUGGAUCCUGGAAGUGAGCUUGUCCAUUGGAACAUGCUGGUCUCUGGGCAAAGGAUCUCCUUGCUCAUUUGGAAUCAGCUCCUGUGGUUAUAGAAGUUGAGAAGUUCCAAGAUCUGUAGCCACAAACUGGAGACCCAGGUGAGCCAAUAGUUUCAUUCUAGUCUGAAUUUGAAGAUCUGAGGAGCAGAAUUGAUGGUGUAAAUUUCAGUAUGAGUUCAAGUUUGAAUGAAGGUGGGAGAAAACCAACCUCCCAGCUUGAGAUAGUCAGGCCAAGGGAAUCCCCCGCUUAGCUAGCCUUUGGUUCUGUUCAGUCCUUCAAGGGAUUGGAUGAAGCUUACCCACAUUGAAGAGGGCAAUAUGCUUUACUCAGUCUCCUGACUCAAAUGCCCAUCUAUUCUAGAAACAUAUCUCAGGUAUACCCAGAAGAAAAGAUUAAUCUGGGCAUCCUGUGGCUAGGUCAA